rnacentral:rRNA from 1 species
UACGUAGGGGGCAAGCGUUGUCCGGAAUCAUUGGGCGUAAAGAGCGCGUAUGGCGGCCCUGUAAGUCCGCUGUGAAAGUCAAGGGCUCAACCCUUGAAUGCCGGUGGAUACUGCGAGGGCUAGAGUCCGGAAGAGGCGAGUGGAAUUCCUGGUGUAGCGGUGAAAUGCGCAGAUAUCAGGAGGAACACCGGUGGCGAAAGGCGGUGAUCUGGGCCGACACUGACGCUGUAGAGCGAAAGCGUGGGGAGCGAACAGG